rnacentral:lncRNA from 1 species
GCUGGGGAGCUUCCUGUGCUGUGGAUUCUGCUUGCUCUCUCAGUUCUUCUUCUCAAUAUAUCUUCUCAUUUCACAGGACCCAUUCACUGAUGAGCCCUCAUUCUCUCUAAAUGGAAGGACCUGAACUCAGCAAAUCACAGCUGCUGUGAGGUGUGGGUGAGAGCAGAGAGGAAGGUGCCAAUUCCAGCUUGAAGGUCAGAUGCGCUUCCUAGAGGAAGUGCGGAGGUGGGAUCUGAAUUAUACAGCUCAGUAGCAAAGGCAUAGUGAGGGAGGGGUCCUAGAUAGGACCAGCAGAUGAGAAGAACAGAGAGGACCCAGUGGGGAAGCACCUCUGGGAGGUAGAAGGGACUGUGCAGCUCUUCUGGCCUGGAAAUACAUUUUACUUCUGAAGCAUCAUUGAUGAAACAGACUUCUAUCCUUCUCAACUGCAGCAUGAAUGGAGGUCUCAUAUCCCAGGAGACACAGCCACAGCUGGCAGGGCAUCCUCAGUGCUGUGUGGCUAUGAAGCACAGUGUCCUGCUAGCUUGCCAUGGCAUGCAGCAGGACUGAGAAGCAGGGUGCUGUGGGGUACCGCUGAGAUUGGGGCUGCUUGCCACAGGAGUGAAACCUCGUUUACGCUGGCUGACUGAGGCAUGGAGAUGCAUAUUGGCUGUUGUGCAAUGGGCUUGAAAGACUUCGACCUUACAUGGAGAUGCUUUUAUGCUGCAACUGGAGUAGCUCUAAAAUGCCUUGAGAAACUAACAUCAGUUUCAAGCAGCAAAUUGUUAAAAUUGGGAAAGAGGGCUACAAACAAAGGAGCAAAGAAGAAAUGGGGUGGAGGUGGGGCAGGGAACGCUCUGAGGGACAUGCUGUUCAAAUAAAUGUCUUCUAA